UGGGGAAUCUUGGACAAUGGGGGCAACCCUGAUCCAGCCAUGCCGCGUGAGUGAUGAAGGCCUUAGGGUCGUAAAGCUCUUUCGCCUGUGAAGAUAAUGACGGUAGCAGGUAAAGAAACCCCGGCUAACUCCGUGCCAGCAGCCGCGGUAAUACGGAGGGGGUUAGCGUUGUUCGGAAUUACUGGGCGUAAAGCGCACGUAGGCGGACCAGAAAGUUGGGGGUGAAAUCCCGGGGGCUCAACCCCGGAACUGCCUCCAAAACUAUUGGUCUAGAGUUCGAGAGAGGUGAGUGGAAUUCCAAGUGUAGAGGUGAAAUUCGUAGAUAUUUGGAGGAACACCAGUGGCGAAGGCGGCUCACUGGCUCGAUACUGACGCUGAGGUGCGAAAGUGUGGGGAGCAAAACAGGAUUAGAUACCCCUGGUAGUCCACACCGUAAAACGAUGAAUGCCAGUCGUCGGGUAGCAUGCUAUUCGGUGACACACCUAACGGAUUAAGCAUUCCGGCCUGGGGAGUACGGUCGCAAGAUUAAAA
rnacentral:rRNA from 1 species